GGAUGCGAUCAUAGCAGCACUAAAGCACCGGAUCCCAUCAGAACUCCGAAGUUAAGCGUGCUUGGGCGAGAGUAGUACUAAGAUGGGUGACCUCUUGGGAAGUCCUCGUGUUUCAUUCC
rnacentral:rRNA from 1 species